UGAUAUCAAAGGCCUUAGAGUCCCUGCCCAGCUUUCCUAUAGCCCCCUUUAAGUCCUAGGUGGCCGCUCUAAGGUCUCCCUGGAGACUUCUCCAGGCUGAACACCCCCAGCGCUCUCAGCCUGUCCUCACAGCGGAGGUGCUCCA